AUUGAACGCUGGCGGAAUGCUUUACACAUGCAAGUCGAACGGCAGCACGGACUUCGGUCUGGUGGCGAGUGGCGAACGGGUGAGUAACGUAUCGGAACGUAUCCAAUAAUGGGGGAUAACUAAUCGAAAGGUUGGCUAAUACCGCAUACGCCCUACGGGGGAAAGCUAGGGACCUUCGGGCCUGGCGUUAAUGGAGCGGCCGAUAUCUGAUUAGCUAGUUGGUGGGGUAAAGGCCCACCAAGGCGACGAUCAGUAGCUGGUCUGAGAGGACGACCAGCCACACUGGAACUGAGACACGGUCCAGACUCCUACGGGAGGCAGCAGUGGGGCAUUUUGGACAAUGGGCGCAAGCCUGAUCCAGCCAUUCCGCGUGAGUGAAGAAGGCCUUCGGGUUGUAAAGCUCUUUCGCAGGGGAAGAAAACUUAUCCUCUAACAUAGGAUGAGGUUGACGGUACCUUGAUAAGAAGCACCGGCUAACUACGUGCCAGCCGCCGCCGUAAUAC
rnacentral:rRNA from 1 species